AUUUGAGAUAAACUUCAAUAAGAAUGGCUAAGUUUUUUAACUCUGUUAUUUGUUUCUUUCUCAUUCUUUCAGUUGCAUUGACAAUUACUCAAGUAAAAGCCCAAACUAGAUGCACUGUAACGUUGAAUCCAAAGGAAUGCAUCCUUGCUAACUGUCAAAGAGAAUGCUUAAAGAUACAUAACGGGAAUGGAGUUUGCACUGGUGGUAACCUUGGCGCAUUACAUUGCGUCUGUGUUUACAAUUGUAAUUCCAAUUAAACUUUCCUUUAAUGUACCUUUGAUCAAACACAAAUAUCCUAUUAUAUAUUAUAAAAUUCCAUCUUGUUUA